rnacentral:lncRNA from 1 species
CCCAUAGAUGUCCCAUGGAUCCUAUGGAGUCCCGAUUGCCUGUCCUGUAGAUGUCAACACCAUAAAAUUGUCAAACCUCAUAAAUUUAGACUUUCCUAGUUUGGUGUUUUUGAUAAGAAAAAGAUUAAACUGAAUUUCAUCUUUGCUUUACAAGAAUCUUAUAAAUAACACAUUAGAAGCACUUCUAAAAAGAGAGGUGAGAAGAUGAUGAAUAAGUGGGUGGAUCAAUGACAUCACAUUUUUUUCACUCAUUCAUUUAACUGUGAAUUGGCGAGGCUCCUUCAGCUGUGAUUUUGUAAUAAUUCCUUAGUCAUCCUUGAGGAAUUGAAGAAGAUCACAAACUAUAUCAAAAUAACCUUGUUUAUUUUAAUGUGCUUUCUCCUGGAAUGGUGGGGGAGGGCAGUGCUAAACAUAAUGUUUCUUAAUGUUAUCAAAGUAUUUGAUACAUCUUUUAGGGCUACAUUCUUUCCAAUAGAAUUUUUUUUUUUGCACAAAACAUUCAGUCCUCACUAAUUAACAAGAAUAAUCAUUACUGAGAUUGAAUUUCUCCUCAAUAAGCCAAAAGGCAUGACAUGUAAAUUCACUUACCUUAUCAUGCAGGUAUAGUGCAAGUUACUAGACAAUGUGACAAUGAUUAAUUCUUGGGAUUAGAAGGCUGUCAUGGAGGUAGAGAUUCAGCUGAUCAGUUUCCGAUGAAUCAUCUGAUUUGGUUCAUAUGUCACAGUCGUUCACUUCCUCUUCCCAGAAAUGCUCUUGGUAUUCAUUUUGGAAAAUUAUAAAGCACUUGAACUCUGGAGAGUCUGCACAUCGUUAGUGACAACAGAUGCACAAUACAGUAAUCAUCACAUGAGUGCACUCCUGAAAAAAAUAUCAAGCUUAGAGAGGGAGAGCGUCACGGUGAUGGGGUUCAUUCCUCAGAUAUCCUUCUUGUUGAGCAGCCAGUUAGUCUUCAAAAAUCUGGGCUUCACCAACUGGCAUUGGCUGGUCAGUUGCAAUUUCUCCAAUCCUGCUUCCCUGACGCAAGCAAACAGACACUACUUUUGUUCCACUUCACCCCCACGCC